UAAACACGACAAUUCAAAAACGAACAAGGGAAUAUCGAACUCGAUCAGAGCACCCAAAACGUUAUGCUCAUCUCUUUGCUCGAAUCUUUCUUGUUCGAUUCAUUGAAGCCAUCUUCUUCCUUCACGUCCGCAGCAUGCAUGCAGCGAGAUCUUCUUCAUCAGAAGGUCCUGUACUCUAAACAAAGUGACCCAUCAGCUGCAUGCUUCUUGUGUUUCUUGUUUGAUUGAGGUCUUGCUCUCCCAAGGGGCAGGCAGGCAGGAGCAUCCAUCUUCCUUUUCUCUGCAUCACCACUUUUGGUUGGCACCUUUAAUUUUCUUCUCAGCUGCAAGGAAGUUAUAGUACAGCAUGAGAAAAUUGAGUCCAUACGAACCACACAAGAGAGGUACUCCUAUAUUGGGAUCAGGCAGUUUUUGAUGGCAGCGUGUAUGUAUAGGAUGAUUCUUGCUUACCAACCUGUCAGUGCGGCACUGCUCGAAUUCCCAGAAAGUCCCAGCUCACCCAAUACUGCAUCAU
rnacentral:lncRNA from 1 species